AGUGAACGCUGGCGGUAGGCCUAACACAUGCAAGUCGAACGGCAGCACAGUAAGAGCUUGCUCUUACGGGUGGCGAGUGGCGGACGGGUGAGGAAUACAUCGGAAUCUACUUUUUCGUGGGGGAUAACGUAGGGAAACUUACGCUAAUACCGCAUACGACCUACGGGUGAAAGCAGGGGAGCUUCGGACCUUUCGCGAUUGAAUGAGCCGAUGCCGGAUUAGCUAGUUGGCUGGGUAAAGGCCCACCAAGGCGACGAUCCGUAGCUGGUCUGAGAGGAUGAUCAGCCACACUGGAACUGAGACACGGUCCAGACUCCUACGGGAGGCAGCAGUGGGGAAUAUUGGACAAUGGGCGCAAGCCUGAUCCAGCCAUACCGCGUGGGUGAAGAAGGCCUUCGGGUUGUAAAGCCCUUUUGUUGGGAAAGAAAAGCAGCAGAUUAAUACCCCGCUGUUCUGACGGUACCCAAAGAAUAAGCACCGGCUAACUUCGUG
rnacentral:rRNA from 1 species